GCGGGAAGAGGAUCGAUCGCGUCUCCACUGAUGUUGCCACAGGUGCCCCAGGGACCCUCUGGGUGGGCUCCGUGUGGCCCCGCAGUGCCCAACUGCACUGGGACCCCCCCCUCAUCCCCCCUGAUGGCUACGAGCUGGUGUACGGCCCCCCCGGGGGGCCCCAGCAGACCCUGCAGUUGCCUCCUGAGGCCACGUCGCAGCAGCUGUGGGGGCUGGAGCCGGCGGGACAUUAUGGGGUGCAGCUGUGGGGCCGGGGGGUGGACCCCCAAACCUCUCCCCUCGAGGCCACCUUUGACACCCGUGAGUGGGGGCAGGGGGGGAUGGGGA